rnacentral:rRNA from 1 species
GACGAACGCUGGCGGCGUGCCUAAUACAUGCAAGUAGAACGCUGAAGGAGGAGCUUGCUCUUCUGGAUGAGUUGCGAACGGGUGAGUAACGCGUAGGUAACCUGCCUGGUAGCGGUGGAUAACUAUUGGAAACGAUAGCUAAUACCGCAUAACAGUAGAUGUUGCAUGACAUUUGCUUAAAAGGUGCAAUUGCACCACUACCAGAUGGACCUGCGUUGUAUUAGCUAGUUGGUGGGGUAACGGCUCACCAAGGCGACGAUACAUAGCCGACCUGAGAGGGGGAUCGGCCACACUGGGACUGAGACACGGCCCAGACUCCUACGGGAGGCAGCAGUAGGGAAUCUUCGGCAAUGGACGGAAGUCUGACCGAGCAACGCCGCGUGAGUGAAGAAGGUUUUCGGAUCGUAAAGCUCUGUUGUAAGAGAAGAACGAGUGUGAGAGUGGAAAGUUCACACUGUGACGGUAUCUUACCAGAAAGGGACGGCUAACUACGUG